rnacentral:tRNA from 1 species
GGGGGUAUAGUGCAGUGGUAGAGUGUACACUUGGCAUGCACGAGGUCCUGGGGUCAAUCCCCAGUACCUCCA